CUACUGCAAUAUCCAAGAACAGACAAAAAAAACCCCAAUCAGAAUAUUAGAAGCUAAUGAAAUAAUUCAAUGAUGCCAUAUCAACUAGAAUUAGCUUCUUGGAAUCCAAAUCCAUGUGAUGCUAGAAGCGGAAUGAGAUUGCUCUACAGUCAGCCUGUCACCAAUUUACUGAAGUAAAACCUACCCACUGAUGUCUUGUAAAAUUCUGCUGGUCCAUGUUACCUCAUCUCUACAUCUACCUACCAUCCAUCAACACCAUGGUUUGAGAGGCUUUGUGAAUAGGCUCAGUAUUGUUAAAAGGAAACAACAGAGUAAUCAGCUUCCACUUAAGAUUUAGAAAGGUGGAAAAGUGUGGGAUGAGAAGAAGAACAUGUCUGCUGUGGUAUGUGUGCAGAGGGAGAAGAGAAUUUGCUGAAUCCAGCUCCCCACUUCUGUCACAAGCUUCCAGAUACAAAACAAACUUUAAUCAGCAAGCUUGCACAACAAGAGCUUUUACUUGUUGGAUCUUCUCUCAGACCCAGAGAUAACAUCUCUUAAAAGUUACAUAAGCUCAUAGGAGACUGUUAA